UCGAGAAUCUUCGGCAAUGAGCGCAAGCUUGACCGAGCGACGCCGCGUGCGGGAUGAAGGCCUUCGGGUUGUAAACCGCUGUCAGUGUGGAGGAAAUCCCUAGGGGUAAUCUCUUAGGGUUGACCUAUACGCAGAGGAAGGAUGGGCUAAGUUCGUGCCAGCAGCCGCGGUAAGACGAACCAUCCAAACGUUAUUCGGAAUCACUGGGCUUAAAGGGUGCGUAGGCGGCGUGGUAAGUUGGGUGUGAAAUACCUCAGCCUAACUGAGGAAUUGCGCCCAAUACUGUCAUGCUCGAGGAAGACAUAGGUGAGCGGAACUUAGGGUGGAGCGGUGAAAUGCGUUGAUAUCCUAAGGAACACCAGUAGCGAAAGCGGCUCACUGGGUCUUAUCUGACGCUGAUGCACGAAAGCUAGGGGAGCGAACG
rnacentral:rRNA from 1 species